UACAGAGGUCUCGAGCGUUAGGCGGAAUCACUGGGCUUAAAGCGUGUGUAGGCGGAUCGUUAAGUACCUUGUGAAAUCCCACGGCUUAACCGUGGAACUGCUUGGUAUACUGGCGGUCUUGAGCCAGCUAGGGGCUACCGGAACAAAUGGUGGAGCGGUGAAAUGCGUAGAUAUCAUUUGGAACGCCAAUGGUGAAAACAGGUAGCUGGGGCUGUGCUGACGCUGA
rnacentral:rRNA from 1 species